GGUGGAGAAGAACGGAGGAAGGCCACACUGUCUUUCCAGGACGUGAGAUAGCCGAUUAUGCAAGCGGUGGAUUGACUGUGUGUUGAGAAGGAAUUCUCUCCAGCCGUGGCGUGAUAUUGUUCCAACCAACUCUACGGUGGAGAAGAACGGAGGAAGGCCACACUGUCUUUCCAGGACGUGAGAUAGCCGAUUAUGCAAGCGGUGGAUUGACUGUGUGUUGAGAAGGAAU